CUUCUCUCAGGAUCACACCUGGAGAGUUUCCAGCACUCUACCAGCCUUGGCUACAGGAAGGAGAGUGAAGCAGAGGCCUACCCAUUCCGUUCCUAGCUUGGGCAGUGGUUAGCGAGUGGAAGGAAACCUGCUACAAGU